GACGUAGGGCGCGAGCGUUGUCCGGAUUUAUUGGGCGUAAAGAGCUCGUAGGCGGCUUGUCGCGUCGUUCGUGAAAACCUGGGGCUCAACCCCAGGCUUGCGGACGAUACGGGCAGGCUAGAGUUCGGUAGGGGAGACUGGAAUUCCUGGUGUAGCGGCGAAAUGCGCAGAUAUCAGGAGGAACACCGGUGGCGAAGGCGGGUCUCUGGGCCGAUACUGACGCUGAGGAGCGAAAGCGUGGGGAGCGAACAGG
rnacentral:rRNA from 1 species